rnacentral:rRNA from 1 species
ACCACGCCCUUUACUCGGGGAUAGCCUUUCGAAAGAAAGAUUAAUACCCGAUAGCAUAAUGAUUCCGCAUGGUUUCAUUAUUAAAGGAUUCCGGUAAAGGAUGGGGAUGCGUUCCAUUAGGUUGUUGGUGAGGUAACGGCUCACCAAGCCUUCGAUGGAUAGGGGUUCUGAGAGGAAGGUCCCCCACAUUGGAACUGAGACACGGUCCAA